rnacentral:rRNA from 1 species
UUGAACGCUGGCGGCAGGCCUAACCCAUGCAAGUCGCACGGUAACAGGAAGCAGCUUGCUGCUUUGCUGACGAGUGGCGGACGGGUGAGUAAUGUCUGGGAAACUGCCCGAUGGAGGGGGAUAACUACUGGAAACGGUAGCUAAUACCGCAUAACGUCGCAAGACCAAAGAGGGGGACCUUAGGGCCUCUUGCCAUCGGAUGUGCCCAGAUGGGAUUAGCUAGUAGGUGGGGUAACGGCUCACCUAGGCGACGAUCCCUAGCUGGUCUGAGAGGAUGACCAGCCACACUGGAACUGAGACACGGUCCAGACUCCUACGGGAGGCAGCAGUGGGGAAUAUUGCACAAUGGGCGCAAGCCUGAUGCAGCCAUGCCGCGUGUAUGAAGAAGGCCUUCGGGUUGUAAAGUACUUUCAGCGGGGAGGAAGGGAGUAAAGUUAAUACCUUUGCUCAUUGACGUUACCCGCAGAAGAAGCACCGGCUAACUCCGUG